GCCAGGCGCGGUGGGACAUGCCUGUAGUCCCAGCUACUUGGGAGGCUGAGGUGGGAGGAUCGCUUGAGCCCAGGAGUUCUGGGCUGUAGUGCGCUAUGCCGAUCGGGUGUCCGCACUAAGUUCGGCAUCAAUAUGGUGACCUCCCGGGAGCAGGGGACCACCAGGUUGCCUAAGGAGGGGUGAAGUGGCCCAGGUCGGAAACAGAGCAGGUCAAAACUUCUGUGCUGAUCAGUAGUGGGAUCACGCCUGUGAAUAGCCACUGCAAUCCAGCCUGGGCAACAUAGCAAGACCCUGUCUCUG
rnacentral:SRP_RNA from 1 species